UACGUAGGGGGCGAGCGUUGUCCGGAGUUACUGGGCGUAAAGCGCUUGUAGGCGGUCCACCAAGUUUGGGGUGACAGUUGCCGACUUAAUCGGCAAAGUGCCUCAAAGACUGGCGGACUUGAGGGCCACAGAGGGACAUGGAACUCCAGGUGUAGUGGUGAAAUGCGUAGAUAUCUGGAGGAACACCCGUGGCGAAGGCGGCUCGCUGGACCGCAACUGACGCUGAGGAACGAAAGCUAGGGGAGCAAACAGG
rnacentral:rRNA from 1 species